AAUAAAAUUCCUCAAAAAGAAUGGUACAAGCAUCCCCAUGAUGAUGUAACUCCAACUAUUUGGAAAGAGAUGUGCAACAAAUGGAAUAAUGGCAAGUGGCAGGAAAAGAGUGAUAGAAACAAAAGAAAUCGCAAAGAAAAUCAAGCUAUCAUUGCGACUACAGGUUCUGUACCAAUGGCUAAGCGUAGAAAAGAAUUGGAGGAGAAGAAUGGAUGUGAACCAAGUCCAAUCGAAUGUUUCAGGUCAAUGCAUAUGAAAAAGGAUGGUGUUACUUUUGCCA